rnacentral:rRNA from 1 species
AUUGAACGCUGGCGGCAGGCCUAACACAUGCAAGUCGAGCGGAUGAAGGGAGCUUGCUCCUGGAUUCAGCGGCGGACGGGUGAGUAAUGCCUAGGAAUCUGCCUGGUAGUGGGGGAUAACGUCCGGAAACGGGCGCUAAUACCGCAUACGUCCUGAGGGAGAAAGUGGGGGAUCUUCGGACCUCACGCUAUCAGAUGAGCCUAGGUCGGAUUAGCUAGUUGGUGGGGUAAAGGCCUACCAAGGCGACGAUCCGUAACUGGUCUGAGAGGAUGAUCAGUCACACUGGAACUGAGACACGGUCCAGACUCCUACGGGAGGGAGCAGUUGGGAAUAUUGGACAAAGGGCGGAAGCCUGAUCCAGCCAAGCCGCGUGUGUUAAGAAGGGCUUCGGAUUGUAAAGCACUUUAAGUUGGGAGGAAGGGCAGUAAGUUAAUACCUUGCUGUUUUGACGUUACCAACAGAAUAAGCACCGGCUAACUUCGUG